GAACAUGCAGAUGACUCACCCAGCCCUGGAGUUCCACUUACAUUAGUUGUGAAAAACGUAAACGUUGUUACAUAAUGCUGGAUGACAAGCCACAGGAAGAAUUACAGGUUAUCCUGUCAUCUGCUUAGAGUGCAAUAGUGAUCAUGUAGUUCAGUUGGCUGCCCAAUCAGCUCCUUCCACUAGUACACCAUUUGAACAGAAUGAUGCCAGAUACUUUACCUUUGAUGACAGUGACAACAUGGUUCAACCCAUGCUCAAUGAGGCGUUGGUCCCAGGACAGUCUUCGCUAUGCCAUGGCAGUCCCCUCCAUUCGCCUCAGCAUUCAGAGGGAGCCACAGCUUACUUGACUAACCAUAAUGAGACAUGGGUUCAUCAGAGAACCUCUCAACUAAUCAACUUCAGCACAACUGAUGGACAAGUGCAGGGUCACUCAGAGGAGAUUAAGGAGAAGGUGGCUGUUAAUUCCUGCAACAACAGUCAACAAGACCAACAGUCACCAAUGUCCACAGAAUGCUCC